CAUGCGUUUCAUUCCCCAAGAGAAUGAAGGAAAUGAGCUAGUUUUUAGGAUCCCCUGUUUUUGUCACUUGGAUGAGGAAACUGGUCCGCUUAAUCUAGGCAUCAGUCUCUGCAGUCACUCUUAAACCAGCAGGAAGCCAGCCCUGACAUCUGGUCCUUUCUGCUGUGAUCGCAUACCAUAUCCCUUCUCCUGGAAACUGAUGAACUCGGAAAUGGUCCACCCCAGAGAGCACCUGGGGUGUGGAGCCUUCUGUGUGUGGGUGGGAGGACAAGGAGGCAGGAGACAGUGGGGAAUUCUGCCAGGUUUGGGGAUUUGGCAGCUAGCUGUCCCUGGACACACCCAGAUUCCAGCUCGCCAACAGCUCUGAUGGGCGUUAAUUAAAGUCAAGUCUGGUUUGAAUAACAUAAUUUUUAAGGCAAGUUUUGCUAUAUACAAUUUAACACACCAAAUACUAGCACUGUAUUGCCAGAAAAGCAGUUGCAGAUCUGCUGGAUGGGUCAGUCUUUGGACUGAAAGGACAGAGUUAAGCCAUGAUUCAAUCUGAUAUUAGUUAAUGUUUGUUAGAGUUGUGUGGCCCCGUGAAAGGAAGGUUUUGCAAGAACUGUAGGAUUUCAGUCCAAGUAAAAUGGCUCUUGGGGCUUCCCUGGUGUCUUCCUACUGGUAAAGAAUCUGCCUGCCAUGCAAGAGAUGUGGGUUGGAUCCCUGGGUCAGGAAGAUCCCCUGGAGAAGGAAAAGGCAACCACUCCAGUAAUUUUGCCUGGGAAAAUCCAUGGACAGAGGAGUCUGGCAGGCUACAAUCCAUGGCGUUGCAGAAAGUUGGACCCGACUUAGUGACUAAACAACAACAACAAAAUGGCUUUUAGAGAUUUGGGCAGGAAGAUGAGAAGAUCUGAAAAACAAAAAAGUACAAAAUCCAGUCAAUUUAUAAACCAAGGUAGGAUUUGCAGACUUUGACAUGGAAAAGUCUUCUGUGAAGAGAGGAAGUAAUAAGUUGAAGGCAGUGUUGGGAUCUCCAGACCACUCCCUCUUGAAGUGAUGGGCGUGUGAUCAUAGUCACAGGGAAGAGCGUGCAAGUAUCACCAACAUGCAUCCAGUCAGCAUCCUGGCCAAAUCACUAGCCAAGCACACCCAGGCGUUCUAAGGAGAUAAUCCCAAAGUGUUGAAUACGUGGAAGGAAAUAAUGACUUCCUGAACUGGUGGGGAUGUUAAUCUCCCCGUUGGCCACAGUCCAGACCUUAAGCCUGGUUGAAUCUCUGGUGAAAAGCUGGUGGUGAUUGUCCUCCUUGGUGAGCAAACUGAGGCUUGUGUUCGAAGAUACACAGCUAGCAUGUGGCAAAGCUGCGAUUUGGUCCUACUCGUUCUCACUCCAGACCAGCAUUCUCCCCCACCAAACCAGGCACACCAAACUCAAUAGGAAACCUGUAGGUCAGGGGCUGUGAGGAGGAAAAAGAGAACUUCCAGGUUUUAUUGUAUACCCUUGGGUACUGUUUGAAUUUUCUUUUUUAAAUAAAAGCAUGUACUUGUUUAGUAAUUAGA